rnacentral:siRNA from 1 species
CGGGAGCUUUCCCCGGGCGUCG